rnacentral:lncRNA from 1 species
AGGCGACCUUCCCUAUUAAGUCCGCUUCCCUCCUCUUUUAACAGCUACCUGUUGAGAGUCCUAUUUUUAAUGAACAAUUAUAACCUAAGAGCUGUCAUCUGUCAGGUUGUAAACGUUUGUUAAAAAUAGGAGUCCUAGACAUGUAGUCAUUAGACAGCAAAAAAGCCGGAAACAAUAGAAGAAGCCACAGUGGGAGAUGUUAAUUACAUCUGAAUUCAUUACUGAAGUUCAUCUCAGGAAGAAGGGCUGCGGUCUGUGUCCAGUUCUAACAAGAAGGAGGGCUGGUACCCUUCAUAGAAACAGUUCAUCUAGCCUUCAGGAUGCUUCGUUUCUGUGGGCAUAGCUACAGGUGGAUAAACACAGAACACUGCGUGCAGCAAGGCUCGAAGAACAGUAGUGCAGAUCUGUUCUCUGCUCACUCACUGGAUCAGUGAAGAAAUCAAGGCAGAAAGGCGAGAGCCAGUAAAGGCGGAUGCAGAGCUCUGGAGUGACCGAGACCCACACAGGAUGCAUCAGCAAGGGUGUGGCCCUGCUUACCUAGGGUCCAAUUGACUCAUCCAGACUAUCUUGCUUGCCCCUCUGUGAGCUGAGCCUCGCUGGCUGAGUUCUCACACCUCUCAUGAUUGUCACUGGGUGGAACCUGCUACAUAGCAUCACGGUCAGGCCAGUGCUUCUUUAAUUAGCAUUUCAAGUUCACUGAGGUAUGGCUCAUGGGACUGCUCAUCUCCUCCCCACCACAGCCACAGUUCUGGCAGCCCUGGUCACCAGAAGGUGGCCAGGUGAGAUUACCUUUGCCAUUCUGUGGCCAGCUGCAAACCAGCGACCUGGAGAGAAGUCGCCUAUCCACAAGCAGCCCUGGGGAUCCGUCUCUCCAUGCAAAGCAUUUCAAGGCACAGAGGGAACUGUCAUGGUGAGAAUUCUGCUGAGAAUUCUGCCAUAACUCAGGGUGAAACUUCUUUACAAGGAGCAACUUAGAAGGAUGGGGAGGGCAGUGUUGAUCAACUCCACAGUGUGUGUGUGUGUGUGUGUGUGUGUGUGUGUGUGUGUGUGUGUGUGAGAGAGAGAGACAGAGACAGAGACAGAGAGAGACAGAGACAGAGACAGAGAGAUGAGACAGAGAGAGACAGAGAGACAGGGAGAGAGAGACAGAGACAGAGAGAUGAGACAGACAGAGACAGAGAGACAGAGAGAGAGACAGAGAGAGACAGAGACAGAGAGAUGAGACAGAGAGAGACAGAGACAGAGAGAUGAGACAGAGAGAGAGAGAGAGAGAGAGAGAGAGAGAGAGAGAACACAACGGAAGUUCGCCUCCUGUCCUCAAGCUCGUAAUCAAUGUUGAACGCUGUGCAGGACAUACUGCAGGAAUUCUCAGUGAUUCACGGCUUAACUACUCUCAUGGAAGAACAUGGAUGGAGAGAAGCACUCUGUGUGUUUCGGUCGCUGCCGUGGUAUUUUUAGCACUGGUUUCAGUGUUAUGGUUUUUGAUUACUCAGUAAGACAGGAAAUUAAUUUGACUCAAGAUGAAGCUGUCACACCAAGGUCGAGAGCUUUGUGCCUUCCUUCCUUCCUUCCUGACAUUUUGACAUAAGCCUCUGAGAAAUCAAUAGUAAAGUUGAGCUACAGUGACCAGAA